rnacentral:rRNA from 1 species
CCAGGCGACUGUUUACCAAAAACACAGGUCUCCGCUAAGUCGUAAGACGAUGUAUGGGGGCUGACGCCUGCCCAGUGCCGGAAGGUUAAGGAAGCUGGUCAGCGCAAGCGAAGCUGGCGACUGAAGCCCCGGUGAACGGCGGCCGUAACUAUAACGGUCCUAAGGUUAACGACUGCUAGCCUUAGUAAAACUGAACCAUAUGCGGGAAAAUCCUCUGACAGCUUUUCACUACUCGUUCAGUGAGGUGCUUAGCUUUCUUGACUUAAGAAGGCUUCUCUUAAAGCACUGUGGUACUGUUCAGUAAAAACGUGAAAGACAUGGGGACAAUCCGCAGGAAAGGCCUAGAGCUAUCUAGGAAUCCUCAGAGACUUGAUGUUCAGGUACGACGAAUGAAUUUAGAUGCGCAGUGGAUUGUUGGGUUUGUUGAUGGCGAGGGAUGUUUCCAUGUAGGAAUUAAUCCUCAGCCACAAAUGACAAUCGGUUAUCAGGUGUUACCUGAGUUUACGGUUGUUCAGCACCGGCGAGAUGUAAAAGUACUCUAUGCACUAAAAGCCUAUUUUGAUUGUGGUGUGGUUCGUGUGAAUCACGGCGAUCGCAUGGCCUACCGAGUGCGAAGUAUUGAGCAUCUGGCAGAGCGCAUUUGUCCCUUCUUUAUGAAACACACCCUAAAAACAAGUAAGUCAGUUGACUUUCUUAGAUUUCGGGAUGUGGUUCUCCUGUGUCAAGCAGGCGAACACCUUAAAGAAGCAGGACUGUUGAAAAUCCAGCAGAUUGCAGCACAAAUGAAUCGUGGUCGUACAAGGUAAAGUCCAGCUCUAUUAGAAAUGGUAGAGACAAACUGAGCGAAAUUCCUUGUCGGGUAAGUUCCGACCCGCACGAAAGGCGUAACGAUCUGGAUGCUGUCUCGGAGAGAGGCUCGGCGAAAUAGAAGUGUCUGUGAAGAUGCGGACUACCUGCACCCGGACAGAAAGACCCUAUGAAGCUUUACUGUAGCUUGGAAUUGGGUUCGGGCUUUGCUUGCGCAGGAUAGGUGGGAGACGUUGAAGUAUUCCUUGCGGGGAAUAUGGAGUCAUCGGUGAGAUACCACUCUGGCAAGGCUAGAAUUCUAACCUUCUGCCGUUAGCCGGCGAAGGAACAGUUUCAGGUGGGCAGUUUGACUGGGGCGGUCGCCUCCUAAAUGGUAACGGAGGCGCGCAAAGGUUCCCUCAGGCUGGUCGGAAAUCAGCCGUAGAGUGUAAAGGCAUAAGGGAGCUUGACUGCAAGACCUACAAGUCGAGCAGAGACGAAAGUCGGCCUUAGUGAUCCGACGGUUCCGCGUGGAAGGGCCGUCGCUCAACGGAUAAAAGUUACUCUAGGGAUAACAGGCUGAUCUCCCCCAAGAGUUCACAUCGACGGGGAGGUUUGGCACCUCGAUGUCGGCUCAUCGCAACCUGGGGCGGUAGUACGUCCCAAGGGUUGGGCUGUUCGCCCAUUAAAGCGGUACGUGAGCUGGGUUCAGAACGUAAAUCAUUGCGUCACUUCACAGUAAUGUGAAGCAGCAAACCGACUAAAAUCGGUAGAAUCUUGGUUGGUUUCCGAACGCUAACUAAGACAAUACCGAGGGUAAGCGGAGUUCUCGUGACGAGUUCAGAGAUUUACAGUUACAUUGCUGGUGUUUUAGAUGGAGAUGGUUGUAUCAAUCUCCAAUUGGUACGGCGAAAAGAUUACAUUCUUGGCUAUCAAAUUCGAGCCAGUGUAACCUUCUUUCAAAGUACUGUCCAUCGCUCGUUUCUUGAGUGGAUUCAGUCAGUGCUAAAGGCUGGCUUUAUCCGCGAACGAACUGACGGUGUGAGUGA